rnacentral:misc_RNA from 1 species
GUGGGAGCGGGCUUGCUCGCGAAUGCGGUGUGUCAGUCAAUGCAUCUUUAGCUGAUCCACCGCAUUCGCGAGCAAGCCCGCUCCCAC